rnacentral:rRNA from 1 species
UACGAAGGGGGCUAGCGUUGCUCGGAAUCACUGGGCGUAAAGGGUGCGUAGGCGGGUCUUUUAAGUCAGGGGUGAAAUCCUGGAGCUCAACUCCAGAACUGCCUUUGAUACUGAAGAUCUUGAGUUCGGGAGAGGUGAGUGGAACUGCGAGUGUAGAGGUGAAAUUCGUAGAUAUUCGCAAGAACACCAGUGGCGAAGGCGGCUCACUGGCCCGAAACUGACGCUCAUGCACGACAGCGUGGGGGAUCAAACAGG